UACGGAGGGGGCUAGCGUUGUUCGGAAUUACUGGGCGUAAAGCGCACGUAGGCGGAUCAGAAAGUCAGAGGUGAAAUCCCAGGGCUCAACCUUGGAACUGCCUUUGAAACUCCUGGUCUUGGGGUCGAGAGAGGUGAGUGGAAUUCCGAGUGUAGAGGCGAAAUUCGUAGAUAUUCGGAGGAACACCAGUGGCGAAGGCGGCUCACUGGCUCGAUACUGACGCUGAGGUGCGAAAGCGUGGGGAGCAAACAGG
rnacentral:rRNA from 1 species